rnacentral:tRNA from 1 species
UUGUGUAGAAGUAAAACUACAAUUAAUUUCGGCUUAAUUUCUGGAUCAAACUGGUCCCACACAAA